UAACCUGCCCAAGAGACUGGGAUAACACCUGGAAACAGAUGCUAAUACCGGAUAACAACACUAGACGCAUGUCUAGAGUUUGAAAGAUGGUUCUGCUAUCACUCUUGGAUGGACCUGCGGUGCAUUAGCUAGUUGGUAAGGUAACGGCUUACCAAGGCAAUGAUGCAUAGCCGAGUUGAGAGACUGAUCGGCCACAUUGGGACUGAGACACGGCCCAAACUCCUACGGGAGGCAGCAGAC
rnacentral:rRNA from 1 species